CCAUCCUGGCUAACAUGGGUACGGAUGGCAUGGUGCUCCUCUUAAGUGUGCUGGAAUUCUGCAUUGCUGUGGCCCUCUCUGCCUUUGGAUGUAAAGUGCUUUGUUGUAGCCCCAGUGAGAGCAAAAAUAAAAUUAGAAGCAAUACUUUCAUGUGCUACCUCCUUUCUAUUCAGAUGCAAUAUGAUGGAAAGAGACUAAAUGUUGAUGUCGACAGUACUGUAUGGUGGUAAAUAAUGUGGACUUUCUAAUCAGACAACCCUGGGUUUUCAUCUUGCUAUCCCAUCUUUGUUGUUUACUACCUAUGUAGCUAUGAACAUGCCACAAAAUUUAUCUGUGCUUCAUAUUUCUCUUCAGCAAAAUAGUAAUAAUAUUGUCUGGCCCAUAGACCUAUGAUAAUUUCUUGGUAUAAUAAAGAUAGAGCAAUUAGUACUCUGGUACAUAUGGAGCCUCAAAAGCUUUAAUUAAUACAUAUACAUAUGUACAUAUAUACAUAUUAUUUAUAUUUGUCAGUUCAUCAUUUUAUUCAGCAUAUAUUUGUAAAGUAUCUACAAUGGGGCAGACAUUGUUUUAAGCAUAUAAGAAAAUAGCGGUGAAUAAGAGAGAUAAUAUCCUUCCUCUUGUAGGUUAAACUUUUAUGGGACAGGACACAGAUUAACAUAAAACAAUCAAAACAUUUUUAUAUGCUGUUAGAAGCUAACUGUAAGAAUUAAUGUGCUGGAGAGUGGUUGUUGGUAGUGGUUGUGAAAUAUGAGUCAUUAGAGAGUAACCAGGAAAGUUCUUUUUGAGGAAGCGAUAUUUUCAUUAUGAUAAGAUAAAAAGUAUUGAAUUUGCAUGGACAUUCAUAUUUUCCAACUCAGUAUAUAGGAUUUCUCAUUCUGCCCUACACUCACGUAUCUAUUGUAUCCACCUUUCUCCAUGCACGCUUUUCAUGGGAAUGUGAGGCCCUCCUUCUUUCAAUGCUAACCUGUCUACUUUCUCCAGCUCCGGAGAUGGACAGUAUCUGGAAAAAGUCUAUUAUGACAUUCUAUCUUCUUGGUUGAGGAUUGAAAGGUAAUCUAGCAAGAACCACCAAAUAGAACCUUAAUACUGUUGCUUACUAUUAUGUAGUAUAUAGAACCUUAAUACUAUUGCAUAGAUGUUCUAUGUCUCUUAUGGGACAUCAGUGAGAAUACAUGUAGCCUACUUUAUUACUGGCAUACGUGUGUGUCUGUAAAGGAAGUAUGUUUAAAAGAAAGUCAAAUAAGCAGAAAUAGCAAUAAAUGGAAAUGAAAUGAAUGCUUGAUUUCAUGGAUGAGCAUCUGUCUGUCACAGGGUUCAUAUAGUAGCAUGAUGGCUGCUGAUUGCAGCAAACUUACCUCUUCACAGCUUCAAGCCCAACAGGAAAGAGGAAAGAGAGGGAGAUCAUUUCUUAGACAGUGAAGUGAAAAUGAUGAGAGUAAUUUGAUUGGAAAUGUGUCAGUCAUUCACACAAUUAAUUUUUCCUAGGUCACAAAGCUACCACAGAACUUCACUCUAGUUGAGUUGAUGUAAUUUGCUCACAGACGAGCAGAACUGAGAAGCGCCAAGUGAAGGAUCAGACCCUAGCAAAAUCCUUUGCAUCUCCAAGUCAAAGUUUACCUCAAGUUGGGCCAAUCCCUGACGUUUUAAAUAUAUAAAGGCAAGGGAAGAUGAUUAACUGCUAUAACUGGGCAAAAUCCUUCAAUGGCUUCCUCUCUAACUCAUAAUAAAAGCCAGAACUCAUACUAAAUCCUAGAAGUCCUUACAUCUCCUGAUUCUUUGUUCUGUCUUGGAUUUUGUAAAAUAUCCUAACUUAUAUCCUGAUAUAUUGCCUUGAGAUUAUUUUAAGUGGCCUGAGAAUGCCUUCUGUUGGUUUAAAUUAGCGCAUACAUAAACUUUUUAAGGUUAACACUUACAUAAGCAACCUAAGAUUAGUACAUUUUUAGUUGUAAAAAGCUAAUGCAAAUAUUUUAGGCAAUUCAUGCAAAAUAUUAUGAUUUCAACUUGUAGAGAAGGCUGCCUCAUUUAUUUCAUAUCAUGCAAUUUUAAAUUUAUUCUUUAUUUGGUUAUUCUAGGUUCUAUCUAUAAGUGAUUAGGAUGUAAAGCAGUAGGAAAACGUCCAUGAAAACUUUGCCUUCUUUUGCUACAUUUACAAGAAAAAUAGUUAUUCUUUUUAUUUAUUUAUCUAAUUUUUGAGACAGGGUCUGGCUCUGUCACCCAGGCUGGAUUGCAGGGGUAUGAUCUUGGCUCAAUGCAACCUCCACCUCCUUGGCUUAAGCCAUCCUCGCACCUCAGCCUCCCAAGUAGCUGGGCUUACAGGCAUACACCACCACACCUGGCUUAUUUUUGUAUUUUUUGUAGAGACAAGGUUUCGCCAUGUUGCUCAGGAUGGUGUUGAACUCAUGAGCUCAGGCGAUCCACCCACUUUGGCCUCCCAAAGUGCUGGGAGUACAGGUUUGAGCCACUGCACCUGGCCAAGAUAAUUAUUCUUUACAUACAUGAUUAAAUUCCCCACAACUUACUAGCUGUGGGUAGCUUAUCAUUGUGUUUCUUCAGUUUCCUCAUCUAUAAAAAUUACAAUAGUACCUACCUUAUAGGCUCUUACAAAGACUACAGGUAUUAUUAAAACUUGUAAUCACAGAAUGAAGAUUGACACUGGUAGGCGAUAUGAAAAGAAUGGUGAGUGAUACUGAUAGGUGACAUAUAAAGAAUUAUUAAACAAUAUAAAAGCAAAUAACAAAGUAAAAAUAAAAUAAUAAAAUAAGCUAAAGAUUAACAUAAGUCUUAAUUUGAGCACAUAAGCAGUUAUUAUACUUUUAAAUAUUCAGGAAAAGAAACAGAUAAGUGUGUCCACAGAAUUCUGAUUUUUAAAUAACUGUACUAAGUAUAAGAGUAAUGUCCAUAUGGGACACAAAGAAGCUGCACUACCCUGAAAAUCGGUAAUUUUCAUUAACUUCAGUGAAGUUUUAGAAGUGGGAAUUUAUAAUAUUACUGUUUCAAAUUUAAUACCAGAAUAAUCUAAGAUUCUCUAAAAAUGGAGUCAUCUUCCCUCAAACCUAUUUUCCAGUCAUUGUGAGUUAGGUAAAAUGAGAUUCCAACUGUAGUACAGUUUUCCACUGUCAAUAGUAAUACGCAAUUGGGAUAAAGUAGUGGAUCUUUUUCUCUAAGAGAGGAGUAUUUAACUUCUACAGAUGUCAUAUUGAGAAUGACAUGGCAGAACAGGCACCUGGAGUCAGGUGGAAAGGAUGAUCCUCCUACAAGUAAUCAGCUGGGCAUGCAUAUGAUAUAAAUCAAUUUUGUGUUUAGGAAAAACUCAGUGUGGGUCACUUAGUGGCUUUGAUGUAUAUUUGGAAACUAGGACUGUUUUCGGUUUGGGUAAUAGCUCUCAGUUGGCUAUCUGAGAGGAUUUUUAGGACAGAAGAAACAUAGUAGGGAACAAGAAAAAGACUAUAAUCUAAGCCAAUGUAGUGUAACACAGGUGCAUGCAUUCAGAUAAUUUUAGAAUGCUACUGACCAGAUUGAAUGGCAAGCUCCCAUACAUUCUAUAUACAAAAACAUCAGAAAGUUAUUUAAAAAUGUGUACUCUGUCAUUAAUCUUCAUUGUAAACACAUUCAUAGCACCAAAGGAUAGGUUUGUUGUGGAAAUAUAGCAACAAUUUGCCAACAGCACACACCAUAAAUCUUCUUCAAAUCUUCAAGAGAUAGGUCCUCACCUACACCAAUUCCUUUCCUUUAGAUCAUCUCAACUUGUAUUAAUAAGACGUAGAGGCAAUUUGAUUCUCUGUCUGCUUAGUGAUUGCAAGUGGCUGCUCUGCUGGGUUGAAGUUAGGCCAAGAAUUGCCUUUGUAUUGGCUGGUAUGUACAUGUCUGAGAGCAAGGGCUCUGGCAAUUAGUGACAGUGGUUAACCAUCAAUUUGCUCUGUGAAUAAUAAGGAUAAAAACAAGUCAUAAGGUCUUGAGUAUAUAAGGUGAUAUUACUGAUAACUUCUAACUAUAAGUAGUCCAACCUAUUCAGGUAGAGUCAGUAUACUUGGGACUAAAAAUGAUUUAUUUUUUAAAAAAGUAUUUAUCGAGUGCUCAAUGGUGCCCAGGCUGGAGUGCAGUGGCGUGAUCUCGGCUCCCUACAACCUCCACCUCCCAGCCGCCUGCCUUGGCCUCCCAAAGUGCCGAGAGUGCAGCCUCUGCCCGGCCGCCACCCCGUCUGGGAAGUGAGGAGCGUCUCUGCCUGGCCGCCUAUCGUCUGGGACGUGAGGAGCCCCUCUGCCUGGCUGCCCAGUCUGGAAAGUGAGGAGCGUCUCUGCCCGGCUGCCAUCCCAUCUAGGAAGUGGGGAGCGCCUCUUCCCGGCCACCAUCCCAUCUGGGAGGUGAGGAGUGUCUCCGCCCGGCCGCCCAUCUUCUGAGAUGUGGGGAGCGCCUUUGCCCCACCGCCCUGUCUGGGAUGUGAGGAGCACCUCUGCCCGGCCGCGACCCCGUCUGGGAGGUGAGGAGCGUCUCUGCCCAGCCGCCCCAUCUGAGAAGGGAGGAGACCCUCCGCCUGGCAACCGCCCCGUCUGAGAAGUGAGGAGCCCCUCCGCCCGGCAGCCACCCCGUCUGGGAAGUGAGGAGCGUCUCCGCCAGGCAGCCACCCCGUCCGGGAGGGAGGUGGGGGUCAGCCCCCGCCAGGCCAGCUGCCCCAUCCGGGAGGGAGGUGGGGGGGGUCAG
rnacentral:lncRNA from 10 species